AAUUUAAUGUUUAAGUUCUUAGCAUUGUAACAUAAGAACUUGUACAAAAACAUUUUAUGCAUACACUGGAGGUCGAAAAUAAUACAAUACACAGUACUUUAUUUUUAGGAAAAAGCCUGAAGGAGAAUCUGCCAUUACAUUAUGCUGUUAGGAUUCAAUGAAUUAUUGGAAGAGGUCGAAUCAACCAAUCAAAUUCCAGAAAUUCCAUUUGAUGGCUCCUAUCCAUUCCAAUUCGUUUUUUAAGAAAAAAACCAACUUAACUGACUUACACAAUUUUAUAUAAAAAAUUUUAAACUUUCCUAAGUUAAUUCCAGUAGACAAAAAAACAACAACAACCCAGAACCAAUCAGAAAGAAAAAAAAACAACCCAGGACCAAUCAGAAAGAAAAAAACAACCUUUAGAUCCCUUGGUUUCUGCAGUACUUCUGGCUUUGGCAAGUCUUUAAUAACAUGAGGUUGACUACUUGUUUUGGCAUCAUCGAUUAAAAAUCUUUUCAGAUCACUACGAUACUGAUCAUACGAUUCUGCUGACGGGCAAAGUAACCAAACUGUUAGACAACCCACCAGAUAAGUCACUAUAGCUCCUGCAACAGCACCAGAAAGAAAUAUCGGAAAACUAUGCAUGAAAUAACUAUACAUAAAAAGGGAAGAGACCCAAAGAUGGAAAAAAGUCACUGAUGAACCACUGUUUGGUCGUAAGUGAUACUUUAAAUCUUCCUUCACAAUAUUAUCAGUUAAAAUAUCAAUUUCUAUAUCCGUAAAAUCUUCAUUCGAUGGUGUUGUCGCAGGUUCUGCCACCUUACACAUGUCAACAGUCUCGGCACUUUUUGUUGGAGAGGAUGGAUUAGAAUUUGAAUGGAGUAGUUCCGAAAAUGUCAAUUUUGAAGUAAUUAAAUUGGAAUUAAUAUUUCCCUUGGGUUGGUCUUGUCUAGAAGCUAUUUGACUUGAAUGCUGUGUUUGUUUAGAGUAUGUAUUUUUAAUUGUUAAAGAUGGUUUUUCUUUCUUAAAAAGAGGCAAAUGACUUGCCUCUGCAGAUAAAGAGGAUAACUUUAACGUACUAUCAUGUAUCUGCAACCCGCUAGGAGAAGUCCUUCCAAUGUCAUGUUCAACAGAAAAUUUAGGCGAACUAGAUAAAAAUAAAUUAUUCAAACUUUCACUACUGCUAGCUGAUUUUAUUGUUUCGUUAUUUUCAGUAGAUGUGUCUAAGGAACAGUUCAAUGAAGUCUCGCUACUUGCUAAUGGGGUACUCCCACGAUUGUAGUAAUAGUUUUUAGAUUUCGAAAUGUAACUAUUUAAGCUUCCUUUAAACCAUUGUCUUUUUGUUAUAUUUUCCUUGCCAUCCAGAGCAUCAAACUUUGAUUUAAUAUCACUCUCCGAUACAGUU